UUUACAUGCCUGAACACACAUAGUAGAUCCUGUUGAUAGUUUGUUAAUUUUGAAAGUAUAAGCAAAGACUUCUUGUAAUACUUAAAUAUAUCAAGAUAUAUAGCCUCUAGGUUUCCUAUAGAUUCACUUUAAGCCUUUUAUGAAAUUUACCCUUUACUUAAUAUCCAGGUUCAGAUUUUCAAAGAAUAUAUACAGUAAAUGAAAAUAGCAGGCGUGAGCCACCGCGCCCGGCCAUAGCCUUUUUUAAAGUGAGAAGGAAGAUAUAUCAGCCACUCAUCCCUAAUGUCUACACCAGAUCAUCUUUGGUGCCAGUGGCCCAGUUUUAGGACAUAAUUAGCUGGGUUAAGAGACACUCUGGUAACUUUUAAGCACAGCAGGACUAACCUGAUGAAGGCAGCAACAAUUUAAGUAAGUGAACAUUAGAUAUCUGAUUCACUGUGCUAACUAAGCUAAGCCACAAGCUGUGAUCAGCACUUUUACUAAAAUGUAGUGAUGCGGUUCUUAAAUUUAAAUAAAUGUAGAAAAAUAAGGUUUUAUAUAUUAGAAUUGGUUUUAUAACUUU
ensembl:lncRNA novel transcript, sense intronic to GK